rnacentral:rRNA from 1 species
AGAAUCAACGCUGGCGGCGUGCCUAACACAUGCAAGUCGAACGAGAAAGUGGAGCAAUCCAUGAGUAAAGUGGCGACCGGGUGAGUAACACGUGACUAACCUACCUUCGAGUGGGGAAUAACCUCGGGAAACCGGGGCUAAUACCGCAUAAUGUCUUCGGACCAAAGGAGCAAUUCGCUUGAAGAGGGGGUCGCGGCCGAUUAGCUAGUUGGUGAGGUAAUGGCCCACCAAGGCAAUGAUCGGUAGCCGGCCUGAGAGGGCGCACGGCCACACUGGAACUGAAACACGGUCCAGACUCCUACGGGAGGCAGCAGUGGGAAUUUGCGCAAUGGGGGAAACCCUGACGCAGCAACGCCGCGUGGAGGAUGAAGCCCCUUGGGGUGUAAACUCCUUUCGAUCGGGACGAUGAUGACGGUACCGGAAGAAGAAGCACCGGCUAACUCUGUGCCAGCAGCCGC